CAAUAAUAAAGUUAUAUAACUCAUCAAGAUCUAUAACUUCUAUUUUGGUCAUUUCUUCAUCCGAUAAAUUGAUUUAUAAGAUUGUUCACAAAAUGUACAUCUCUUAUAACUAUAUAAGAGAUGUACAUUUUGUGAACAAUCUUAUAAAUCAAUUUAUCGGAUGAAGAAAUGACCAAAAUAGAAGUUAUAGAUCUUGAUGAGUUAUACAACUUUGUUAUUG
rnacentral:pre_miRNA from 1 species